AUUGAACGCUGGCGGCAGGCCUAACACAUGCGAGUCGAACGGUAACAGGAAGAAGCUUGCUUCUUUGCUGACGAGUGGCGGACGGGUGAGUAAUGUCUGGGAAACUGCCUGAUGGAGGGGGAUAACUACUGGAAACGGUAGCUAAUACCGCAUAACGUCGCAAGACCAAAGAGGGGGACCUUCGGGCCUCUUGCCAUCGGAUGUGCCCAGAUGGGAUUAGCUAGUAGGUGGGGUAACGGCUCACCUAGGCGACGAUCCCUAGCUGGUCUGAGAGGAUGACCAGCCACACUGGAACUGAGACACGGUCCAGACUCCUACGUGAGGCAGCAGUGGGGAAUAUUGCACAAUGGGCGCAAGCCUGAUGCAGCCAUGCCGCGUGUAUGAAGAAGGCCUUCGGGUUGUAAAGUACUUUCAGCGGGGAGGAAGGGAGUAAAGUUAAUACCUUUGCUCAUUGACGUUACCCGCAGAAGAAGCACCGGCUAACUCCGUG
rnacentral:rRNA from 1 species